rnacentral:tRNA from 1 species
AUUCUAAGAAUUUUAUUAAAAUGAUAAAUUGCAAAUUUAUAGAUGAGUUUGAUCCAAGACUUAUAAUU